GACGAACGCUGGCGGCGUGCCUAAUACAUGCAAGCCGAGCGCAGGAAACUGACGGAACUCUUCGGAGGGAAGGCAGUGGAAUGAGCGGCGGACGGGUGAGUAACACGUAAGGAACCUGCCUCAAGGAUUGGGAUAACUCCGAGAAAUCGGAGCUAAUACCGGAUAGUUCAACGGACCGCAUGGUCCGCUGAUGAAAGGCGCUCCGGCGUCACCUUGAGAUGGCCUUGCGGUGCAUUAGCUAGUUGGUGGGGUAACGGCCCACCAAGGCGACGAUGACUGGCCGACCGGAGAGGGUGAUCGGCCACACUGGGACUGAGACACGGCCCAGACUCCUACGGGAGGCAGCAGUAGGGAAUCUUCCACAAUGGACGAAAGUCUGAUGGAGCAACGCCGCGUGAGUGAUGAAGGUUUUCGGAUCGUAAAACUCUGUUGUAAGGGAAGAACACGUACGAGAGGGAAUGCUCGUACCUUGACGGUACCUUACGAGAAAGCCACGGCUAACUACGUGCCAGCCGCCGCCGUAAGAC
rnacentral:rRNA from 1 species